rnacentral:rRNA from 1 species
GACGAACGCUGGCGGCGCGCUUAACACAUGCAAGUCGAACGGAAAGGCCCUGCUUUUGUGGGGUGCUCGAGUGGCGAACGGGUGAGUAACACGUGAGUAACCUGCCCUUGACUUUGGGAUAACUUCAGGAAACUGGGGCUAAUACCGGAUAGGAGCUCCUGCUGCAUGGUGGGGGUUGGAAAGUUUCGGCGGUUGGGGAUGGACUCGCGGCUUAUCAGCUUGUUGGUGGGGUAGUGGCUUACCAAGGCUUUGACGGGUAGCCGGCCUGAGAGGGUGACCGGCCACAUUGGGACUGAGAUACGGCCCAGACUCCUCCGGGAGGCAGCAGUGGGGAAUAUUGCACAAUGGGCGGAAGCAUGAUGCAGCAACGCCGCGUGCGGGAUGACGGCCUUCGGGUUGUAAACCGCUUUCGCCUGUGACGAAGCGUGAGUGACGGUAAUGGGUAAAGAAGCACCGGCUAACUACGUG